AUCUAUAGUGCUACAUAUUUUCUGUUACUGAGGCUUUGCUUGGCCAUGGGUUGUAGAUGGUGAGGGUGUCUUUGAACUGCUGGGUUAUGGAGCUUCAAUCGCCGAUACUGAGGAAGAGAGAUCCCAAAGGAUUAAUUGCUGGCAACCUGUCCUCUGAUCGUUGCCUCCCCCUCUAGCUAAAAGAGAAUGAGAAGCCACAAUGGAGGCUCUAGCAAUGUGCUUUAGAUUCGUCUCCCUCUCGGUGAUGGAUGUCAGCUGAGAGGGGCUUAACCAUCCUUUUUCGGAUCUCCGGUUUCAAACCCACAACUCAUCGGAGCUAG
rnacentral:misc_RNA from 1 species